rnacentral:rRNA from 1 species
AGUGAACGCUGGCGGUAGGCCUAACACAUGCAAGUCGAACGGCAGCACAGUAAGAGCUUGCUCUUACGGGUGGCGAGUGGCGGACGGGUGAGGAAUACAUCGGAAUCUACUUUUUCGUGGGGGAUAACGUAGGGAAACUUACGCUAAUACCGCAUACGACCUACGGGUGAAAGCAGGGGUUCUUCGGACCUUUCGCGAUUGAAUGAGCCGAUGUCGGAUUAGCUAGUUGGCGGGGUAAAGGCCCACCAAGGCGACGAUCCGUAGCUGGUCUGAGAGGAUGAUCAGCCACACUGGAACUGAGACACGGUCCAGACUCCUACGGGAGGCAGCAGUGGGGAAUAUUGGACAAUGGGCGCAAGCCUGAUCCAGCCAUACCGCGUGGGUGAAGAAGGCCUUCGGGUUGUAAAGCCCUUUUGUUGGGAAAGAAAAGCAGCAGGUUAAUACCCCGCUGUUCUGACGGUACCCAAAGAAUAAGCACCGGCUAACUUCGUG